GGAGAUAUUCAUUUAUCCCCCUAAGAAAUCUCGAACAUACAAGCAAAACACACAACCAAAAUCUAUUCACAACCUAGCCCCAAGAAGGGGAGGGAAGAACCCACACUCCAAGCUAAGGGAGGCUGCAAAUCGGCAGAGAGGGAGACGAAGAGGAAUCUAUCUUAGGAACUAGAGUCUCAUUUUUUUCCUUUAUGCCUUUUACGUUGUCCUUUCUUACAUAGAUGCAAUGCAUCUCCCAUCCCUUCUUUUUU
rnacentral:misc_RNA from 1 species